rnacentral:rRNA from 1 species
UACGGAGGGGGCUAGCGUUGUUCGGAAUUACUGGGCGUAAAGCGCGCGUAGGCGGACCUGCAAGUCGGGGGUGAAAGCCCGAGGCUCAACCUCGGAACUGCCUUCGAUACUGCGGGUCUCGAGUCCGGGAGAGGUGAGUGGAAUUCCUAGUGUAGAGGUGAAAUUCGUAGAUAUUAGGAAGAACCCCAGUGGCGAAGGCGGCUCACUGGCCCGGUACUGACGCUGAGGAGCGAAAGCGUGGGGAGCAAACAGG